AAAGCCUUAGUAAAACUAUUACAUAGCCCUGUCAGAGCUAAAUUACAGAACAUCAAUCUGUAGGCUUUA
rnacentral:tRNA from 1 species